GUGAAUCAUCGAAUUUUUGAACGCAUAUUGCACUCUCUGGUAUUCCGGAAAGUAUGCCUGUUUGAGGGUCAGUUAAAUAAAAAUCGGUGUUUUUGCCGCCUUUGGUGGUGACGCUUCGGAAUUGAGUCGUCUUUACCUUUCGUUUGAGUGUCUUAAAAUUGUUUGAUUAUAUCUGGACUUAUUUAAUUUUACUUAGUACUUCUUUUAAUAUCACUUGUUUAUUAUAGGUUG
rnacentral:misc_RNA from 1 species